GGAAACAGGAAGAGGUGAGCUCCUGUCCGGUGUGGGUUUAUUAAGCGAAAACACUUCUGAGGUUUGGUCCCCAGUGUGGGAUUCAUAAUGGUUAUUAACAAUGCUUACUGGCUAUUUUAUGUGCAAUUUAAAAGUGGUCCAUUUAAAGUUAUGUGAAGCAGCGGCUUGUGAUAUCACGUUAUCUGGGAUGCCUAUUUAUAAUUUUCGAAAGAAAAAGUAAAAAAAUAAGGUAAACCACUUGUUUUCAUAACAGUCCUGGUGAGUAGCUGUACAAAACGUACUUUCCCUUCUGAUACUUAAUCUUCAUAGAUAUUUUCGCCCAUGUUUUGUUGCAGCUGCUGGUAGGAUACACACACAAAAAAAGCAUUUACUGGUUGUGCUUGAUCUACGGGGUUAAUAACUCUUCCGUUACAAAAACAGUAUAUGUCUUUUUAAACGUUAUUUGCUGCCCACAGUGACUGAAGUCGAAACUCAGCACGCCAUUAUUCGUUCCCUGGUAAUGCUGUGUAAUUCUUGCUAAGUUAUUAACACCUGAUAAUCAUACUAUAUAAAUGAGAAUGUCUGGGACACCCCUAAUAUUUCUAUACAAUUAUUAGAAAUGCAUAUGCAUUUACAAUUUACAUAUAUGAAUACAUAUUUUACUAGGCCAUUCUAAUUAAGAGCUCUGAUCUUGGUUAUAAAUGUUGCCCCCUCCCCUAUGACUCGAACCUGAACCUUAAGGUUAUAUGUGGUUAUCUUUCACUGCCAUUUGACCUACAACCCUGCAUUUGUAUUCAAGCAAUUUGGUUUUCUAGCAUGCCUCUGCUUUUGCAUGUUUGUUAUGAAACCUUGUCUAACUUGUUUCCUAUACUGUUAAUGUCUAAUAAAACAAUUCUAGAAAAGUUCUUUUUUUCCCCCUCGCCACAUAUUUUGGUUUUUGUGAGAUAUUUAGAAAGUGUCAUACAGACAGUUCAACAUACGGUAUGGCUUAAUUGUGCUUCUUUUGGGAAAAAGGCAUUUCAAUGGAGUAUUAAAAAAUAAAAGUGACUUAAGUGGAUGGAUGGUGAGGAGUCUGGAUCAUGGACCUCAGCACAUAGUAACAUGUUCGUGUGCUACAACGAUUCAAAUAUGGGGAAAGAACCCAGGUUAUUAAUUGCUAGGAUUCCUCCUGCACUGCCGAGUUGGCUGCUUUUAAAUGGAAAACCAACAUCCUGAACAAUCACAUGAACCAUAAUGAAAUGGCACCGGUGUGGUAAAGAUUUUAAAAGGUCAGGCCAGUUAAUGAGAAACCCCAGCGCAGGCUUCAGUCAGGCCCUGGUCAGUUCUGGUCAUACUCAUGCCCAUCCCAAGUCUGCACUUGCCGUAAGGUUGGCAUUACGAAGACGGUGAAGUUACGUUCUGACUGUGUACUUCCACAAUUUCCAUGGAAGAUGUGGCUCACCAGGUUAGGACACUGUCUCUGUGACGGGAAGGUCGCUGGCUCAAAUCACAUGUUUGACAGCGUGAUUUCACUGAGAGCCCUGAGAAAUGCCCAUAACUCCAGGGGCUGGCUGACCCAGCAUUCUCAAAAAAAAAAAGUAAUUUGGAUAAAAGUGACUGCUAAAAUGAAUAAAGUUUUAAGUCUUCUGGAACAACAA